GAUGAAGAACGUAGCAAAAUGCGAUACGUAAUGUGAAUUGCAGAAUUCAGUGAAUCAUCGAGUCUUUGAACGCACAUUGCGCCCCCUGGUAUUCCGGGGGGCAUGCCUGUCCGAGCGUCAUUGCUGCCCUCAAGCCCGGCUUGUGUGUUGGGUCUCGUCCCCCUUCCCGGGGGGACGGGCCCGAAAGGCAGCGGCGGCACCGUGUCCGGUCCUCGAGCGUAUGGGGCUUUGUCACCCGCUCUGUAGGCCCGGCCGGCGCUUGCCGAUCAACCAAAACUUUUUUCCAGGUUGACCUCGGAUCAGGUAGGGAUACCCGCUGAACUUAAGCAUAUCAAUAAGCGGAGGA
rnacentral:misc_RNA from 1 species